AUGGCAUUAGUGGCAGGCAGCAGGUUUGGUAACACACGCACAGGUAAAGCGCGAGCGGAGAGAUGGGGGUUGGUUUUGAUUUGGAGACAGGGAUGAGACAGAGCAUGGGAUGGGGCCAUCAACAAAGUGGAGGGACUAGCUUGCGAGGCAGAAAGAAGGUGCCAGUGCCGGUGCCUCCCCGGUGAAACGAUGAUGGGAGUGUUGUUGCUCCCUCCCCUGCACUGCCUCUUCCCUGGCUCCGAUCCCCCACCGUUGCCCAUCCAUCAUCUCCCUCUCGCUCUCGUUUAUGCUCUUGCCUGCAUUCUUUUUCACAGUAGGCAUGCAGUACUACUUUUGGUUCUCUUUGCAAUAUAUAUACUGCAGGUUUGCUAAUCGCUAAGAGCCUAAGAAUCUUCCGCCUGGAGUGGACUGUACUUUCAGGAAAAAUCGUUCUAAAAUAUCCGGUCUGCAUCUUCGGGGAGGACGAUUGGGCGCGACGAUGCCUCGGUACCCCAAGAAACAGGAUCCCAUCGAUCGGUGCUCAAGCUCGCCAGCAACCAAAGAAAAGAUGCCUCCAAGAAAAACAAUUUCCAGCUUCCCCGAUUCAACACAUGUGGAUUAGCACAAACUCUCUUGUUUAGCUUUGAUUUAGAUCUAGUUCCUCUGAAUUGGUCCCACCUAAUUCUUGACCCUUCGGGCGGUGUAUAGUCGGACGGAGGACUCUCGUUAAUUAUUACCAAAACGCUGCAAGAUGAUUUCUCACUGAAAUCCGGUGUUGGGUGCAAACAUGAUCUGAUCUAGUACUAGUACAUUUCUACUUAUUACCUUGUGAAGGCUGCGUUUGGUUUCCUGAGAUUUUUUAAAAUCCGGUGCAGUGUUGCACAGAAUCCAAGGUAGCAGCAUCUCACACACUGCAGCUGGAACUAAGUAGAUUCUACAUGUGUUGGAGACUUGUUCUCAAAUACUAUGAGUUAAGAACAAGACAAC
rnacentral:precursor_RNA from 1 species